GCCGCGGCUUGUGGGCGGGAGGCUGGGGGAGGGUAGCGGACCCGGCGCCGCCGCCAUGUUGGGUCUGAAGUGGCUGCUGUAGGUGUCGACGGAGCUAGCGGGCGUGCGGAGCGGGCGACAGCGGCGUGGGAUCUGCCUCUCUGCCAGCAGCCGGGAGCGGCGGCGGCGGCGCCAUGAGCGGGGGCACCCCUUACAUCGGCAGCAAGAUCAGCCUCAUCUCCAAGGCGGAGAUCCGCUGCAAGGGCAUCCUCUACACCAUCCACACGGAAAACUCCACCCUAGCCCUUGCCAAAGUUCGAUCCUUUGGUACAGAAGACAGACCGACAGAUCGUCCAAUACCACCUGGAGAUGAAGUCUUUGAAUACAUUAUAUUCCGUGGGAGUGACAUUAAAGACCUUACUGUUUGUGAGCCACCAAAACCACAGUGUUCUUUGCCUCAAGACCCAGCUAUCCUUCAGUCCUCACUAGGCUCAUCGACUUCUUCAUUCCAGUCCAUGGGUUCUUAUGGGCCUUUGGGCAGGAUGCCCACAUACAGUCAGUUCAGUCCAAGUUCCUUAGUUGGGCAGCAGUUUGGUGCUGUUGGUGUUGCUGGAAACUCUUUGACGUCCUUUGGAACAGAAACAUCAAACAGUGGUACCUUACCCCAAAGUAGUGCGGUUGGUUCUGCCUUUACACAGGAUACAAGAUCUAUGAAAACACAGUUAUCUCAAGGUCGUUCAAGCCCUCAGUUAGACCCUUUGAGAAAAAGCCCAACCAUGGAACAAGCAGUGCAGACCGCCUGGGCCAACUUACCUGCUCCAGCACCUGUUGGGAGAAGGAGUCCUGUAUCAACCAGGCCUUUGCCAUCUACCAGCCAAAAAGCAAUAGAGAAUCAGGAGCACAGGCGAGCUGAAGUACACAAAGUUUCAAGGCCAGAAAAUGAGCAACUCAGAAAUGAUAACAAGAGACAAGUAGCUCCAGGUGCUCCUUCAGCUCCAAGGAGAGGGCGUGGGGGUCAUCGGGGUGGCAGGGGAAGAUUUGGUAUUUGGCGAGAUGGGCCAGUGAAAUUUGAGAAAGACUUUGACUUUGAAAGUGCAAAUGCACAAUUCAACAAGGAAGAGAUUGACAGAAAGUUUCAUCAUAAACUUAAAUUAAAAGAAGAUAAAAUUGAGAAACAGGAGAAGCCUGUAAAUGGUGAAGAUAAAGGAAACUCAGGAGUUGAUACCCAAAACAGUGAAGGAAAUGCUGAUGAAGAAGAUCCACUUGGACCUAAUUGCUAUUAUGACAAAACUAAAUUCUUCUUUGAUAAUAUUUCUUGUGAUGACAAUAGAGAACGAAGACCAACCUGGGCUGAAGAAAGAAGAUUAAAUGCUGAAACAUUUGGAAUCCCACUUCGUCCAAACCGUGGCCGUGGGGGAUACAGAGGCAGAGGAGGUCUUGGUUUCCAUGGUGGCAGAGGGCGUGGUGGUGGCAGAGGUGGUACCUUUACUGCCCCUCGAGGAUUUCGAGGUGGAUUCAGAGGAGGUCGUGGGGGCCAGGAGUUUGCAGAUUUUGAAUAUAGGAAAGACAACAAAGUUGCUGCAUAGUCUACAAACAAGUCUCUGAAAAUAGGUGAAUUUCUAGCUCUUCAUGGUCCUGAAAAUUGAUUUCAGUCUUUGCGAAGAAUGAAGAAGUGAAUUCGCUGUACAUUUGUCACCAGCACUGGGUUUUGUUUAUUGUUUGUUUUUCCGCUUAAUUUCAAAGAUAAAAUGCAGUUACUUUUGGGGGUGGAAGGCUCAUCUUAAAACAUGAGCAUUAAAUCUAUUUGGAAUAGCAGAAGGUUAAGUAAUUUCUUAUGUAUAGUUAAACUAAAGCAGUACUUCAGUGGGACUUACAAGUAUUUUUUCAUCACUGAAAGGUUUUUUUUUAUCACUAAAUUGUAUUUGGCAAUUGCAAGUUGCCUGCAGAUAGGGCCGUGAUACUGUGUUUUGAGCCACAGAAGGUAAUGUGUGUGUGUGUGUGCGUGUGUGUGUAUGCGCGCGCGUGUAUCUCUUUCCUCCUUUCUUUUGGGGAAUCCUGUAAUAUGAGGUAGCUUAUUUCGUCAAUUAAUUAGGGUGCUGGAUGGUAGAGAAUUUUGUCAGUCAACUAUGUACACACAGUAAAUACUGUUUCUUAGGCAAAGGUAACUUUUUUAUAUAGUUGUAAAAUUCCAUUAUAUUCCAUUGCCAAAGAAACAUUAAGAACUUUGUAUAGCUGUAUAAAAAGCGACUACUUUUUUAAAGAAUAAACAUUUUAAAGUCAGCAAAAAAAAAAAA